UUAGUACUCCCUCCGUCCGGAAAUACUUGUCCUAGAAAUGAAUGAAUCUAGACUUAUUUUAAUUAUAGAUACAUCAAAUAUAUUCAUUUUUAGGACAAGUAUUUCCGGACGGAGGGAGUACUAU
rnacentral:pre_miRNA from 1 species